AGGUAGCCAAAUGCCUCGUCAUCUAAUUAGUGACGCGCAUGAAUGGGGGCUUGGCGGAAUGAGAGGUGUAGAAUAAGUGGGAGGCCCCUGGCGCCCCCCCGUACCCGCAAAGGGGCGGGGCGGGGUCCACCGGCCUUGCUGAAAUAAAAGAGGAUACAAACAAAUGGAAGAACAUUCCAUGCUCAUGAGUAGGAAGAAUCAAUAUCGUGAA
rnacentral:lncRNA from 1 species